rnacentral:rRNA from 1 species
ACGAACGCUGGCGGCGUGCCUAAUACAUGCAAGUCGAACGCUUCUUUUUCCACCGGAGCUUGCUCCACCGGAAAAAGAGGAGUGGCGAACGGGUGAGUAACACGUGGGUAACCUGCCCAUCAGAAGGGGAUAACACUUGGAAACAGGUGCUAAUACCGUAUAACAAUCGAAACCGCAUGGUUUUGAUUUGAAAGGCGCUUUCGGGUGUCGCUGAUGGAUGGACCCGCGGUGCAUUAGCUAGUUGGUGAGGUAACGGCUCACCAAGGCGACGAUGCAUAGCCGACCUGAGAGGGUGAUCGGCCACAUUGGGACUGAGACACGGCCCAAACUCCUACGGGAGGCAGCAGUAGGGAAUCUUCGGCAAUGGACGAAAGUCUGACCGAGCAACGCCGCGUGAGUGAAGAAGGUUUUCGGAUCGUAAAACUCUGUUGUUAGAGAAGAACAAGGAUGAGAGUAACUGUUCAUCCCUUGACGGUAUCUAACCAGAAAGCCACGGCUAACUACGUGCCAGCAGCCGCGGUAAUACGUAGGUGGCAAGCGUUGUCCGGAUUUAUUGGGCGUAAAGCGAGCGCAGGCGGUUUCUUAAGUCUGAUGUGAAAGCCCCCGGCUCAACCGGGGAGGGUCAUUGGAAACUGGGAGACUUGAGUGCAGAAGAGGAGAGUGGAAUUCCAUGUGUAGCGGUGAAAUGCGUAGAUAUAUGGAGGAACACCAGUGGCGAAGGCAGCUCUCUGGUCUGUAACUGACGCUGAGGCUCGAAAGCGUGGGGAGCAAACAGGAUUAGAUACCCUGGUAGUCCACGCCGUAAACGAUGAGUGCUAAGUGUUGGAGGGUUUCCGCCCUUCAGUGCUGCAGCUAACGCAUUAAGCACUCCGCCUGGGGAGUACGACCGCAAGGUUGAAACUCAAAGGAAUUGACGGGGGCCCGCACAAGCGGUGGAGCAUGUGGUUUAAUUCGAAGCAACGCGAAGAACCUUACCAGGUCUUGACAUCCUUUGACCACUCUAGAGAUAGAGCUUCCCCUUCGGGGGCAAAGUGACAGGUGGUGCAUGGUUGUCGUCAGCUCGUGUCGUGAGAUGUUGGGUUAAGUCCCGCAACGAGCGCAACCCUUAUUGUUAGUUGCCAUCAUUUAGUUGGGCACUCUAGCAAGACUGCCGGUGACAAACCGGAGGAAGGUGGGGAUGACGUCAAAUCAUCAUGCCCCUUAUGACCUGGGCUACACACGUGCUACAAUGGGAAGUACAACGAGUCGCAAAGUCGCGAGGCUAAGCUAAUCUCUUAAAGCUUCUCUCAGUUCGGAUUGUAGGCUGCAACUCGCCUACAUGAAGCCGGAAUCGCUAGUAAUCGCGGAUCAGCACGCCGCGGUGAAUACGUUCCCGGGCCUUGUACACACCGCCCGUCACACCACGAGAGUUUGUAACACCCGAAGUCGGUGAGGUAACCUUUUGGAGCCAGCCGCCUAAGGUGGGAUAGAUGAUUGGGGUG